CUUCAACCCCAACACACAUCAAAUAUAUAUUAAUUUUUAAAUUGAUUUUGUAUAAAAAAAAUCGGAUCAUACACAUAAUACACCAUACAAACAAAUUGUAUUAUUUUUUUCUAUUUAUGUAAAACAUGUAUUUUCAAAUUGUACCGUAAAUAUAAUACAAAAAGAAAGUUGUAUUUUAAAUUUGUAUCAUCAAUACUUACAAUAAAAAAUUGUAUUAUGUUGUUUUUACUUUUUUUUCUUAAUGGAAACUAUAAGCAACAUACUAUAGUAUAAGCAACAUACUAUAGAAAAAGACUAAUUCAUUUGGCACACAAAAAAGAAGAAGAAGAGAGUGUGAUUAAUUUGUUUGAGAAAGAAGAGAAAUAAAAUGAUUAAUUUGGAGAGAAUAAAUAAAUGAAGAAAGAGAAAGAAGAAAUAAAUGAGAAGAGAAGAAGGAGAAAGAAGAAAUAAAUGAGAAGAGAAAAAGGGGAAGAAAGAAAAUGAUUAUAUUGGAAAAUGUAAGGAUUAUAUUGAAAAAUGAAAGGAUUAAGUAAAUAAUAAAUGAGGAAAGAGAAUGAAUAAGAGGGAUUAAGGGUAGUAUUUUUCCACCCCUUAAUCCUCGAGCCAAACAAGUAAAAGACUAGAUAGUCUUUUCUUUUCCUUUCUCCAAACAACUCUUGAAAUUCUCCAACAAGCCGAUAACAAAGAGGUUUGUUGAUGAAUGAUGAUAAUCUCCUCAACUGAAUUUAAGGCAAGGAUUGAGGUGGAUUUGAGGGCACUCCAAAGAAAUUAAGGAAAAUGGGUGAGGGAACGAAGAACUAAAAAUACCUCAAAUUGUAUUUAAUUACCUCAAUUUCAUGUUUCUAUAAUUUCCUUUUUAUGGAACCUAAUUAUUAGGUUUAAACCUUAUUACUUUAGUUAGUCCAUUUUAAUAUUUUAUAUUCAAAUUAUUAAUUAUUUGAAUCCUAUUCAAAUCCAAUUCUUUUAUAUCUUAUUCUUUUAAUUUAAAUUUAAAUCUAAUGUUAGGAUAAUUGUCAUUAGCAACCAUCUUUAAAAAAUUAUAAAUAUAGCAAAAUUAUUACUAAUAAACUUGUAUGAUCCAUCAGUGAUAAACCAAUAUUUACAACAUAGUUUAAUAGAUUUCUGUCAUUGAUAGAAUUUGACAAAUUUUAUUAUAUUUGUAAUUUUUUUAAAAUGUUGCUAUAUAUUUAAUUAUUUAAAACUAACUAACUAUAUAUUGUAUUUAUUGUAGCUAAUAUAACUGAGGAUAGGUUUCCUUAACCUAACAACAUUUAAAAUUAUUCCUUCCAUACUUUCAUCCAUGUUGAUCUUAUGGACUAACGAAUUUAUAAGUUUCAAUGAUAUAUCUAAAUUAUUUCACCAUUUAUUAUACUUCAUUCAUUAAUUGUAAUGCAAAAAAUUGUAGUUCUAUAAUUUCAUUCUUACAUUAACACAAGUUGCGCGAACCAAUAUAACUAUUACAUACAAGUUGAUGUUUUAUGAGUUGUUCAUGAAUUUAAUUGGAUUAUAAGUUCAUGAAAAUAUUUGUUUAUGGUUCAACCAUAAACUAAGUUAUUCUCAAUCCAAUGAAAGAAUGAGACCCGAUUGUUUUCGUUCUAAAAUACAAAAAAUUGUUCUUAUAAAACUAAAAACAAAAUAUGGUUUGACUGUGUGUUUUGUUUUUGCAGAAUCAAAAUAAUUUAAGAUGAUUUUUAUGUUUUAUAUUUGGGUUUUAUAAAAAUAAAAUCAAAGCUGUUUUUACAACUUUUUCAUCAAAUAUAGUAAAUAAUUAUAAAGUUAUAUAUUUUUAAGUUAAAAAAUAGGUUAAUUUUCAUAAAUAUAACAAAAAC
rnacentral:lncRNA from 1 species